rnacentral:rRNA from 1 species
GACGAACCGUGCGAACGUUGUUCGGAAUCACUGGGCUUAAAGGGCGCGUAGGCGGGCUGCCAAGUCUGGGGUGAAAUCCCGCGGCUCAACCGUGGAACUGCCUCAGAUACUGGCGGCCUCGAGGGAGAUAGGGGCGAGCGGAACUGUGAGUGGAGCGGUGAAAUGCGUUGAUAUUCACAGGAACUCCGGUGGCGAAGGCGGCUCGCUGGGUCUCUUCUGACGCUGAUGCGCGAAAGCUAGGGGAGCAAACGGG